rnacentral:rRNA from 1 species
AUGGCAUCUGUGACUCUCAUAGUUCUUGUGAACCCCACCCUAUACAAGCCGGGCAUACGGUGUUAUGCACUCUAUGUAUGCAUGGUGGUGGGCAUGUUUAGCCUCAUGGGAGCCUAUGCUGCUGGAAGCUCCCGACAUGUACGAACCUCCAUCUAUGUGUUAACUUUAGUUGCUGCGGUAUUCACCUUUCUCACCGUUCAGGUGGUUAUUUUAUGGAUACCAAAAAACUGGAGCAAUAAGCAGUCAUCUACCUACUCUGGUACAGUACAUGGGUCCUCUGAGCAAGAAAGCAUCAUCAGUGAGUCUUCUGAACUGGUAGCCCAUGACACAGGAACAGAAAAAAAGGACCUUCGUGAGUACUUGGCUGCAAGUGUAACAUACCAGACUGGUCUAAAACCACCAGGUGGUCUCUGGCAGGACAACAACAACAACGGACAUACUGGAGGCAACUCAAUCCUCCAUGACAUCGACAAAGGCCGUUACCGUGCUUUCUUCUAUAGCAACUCCACUUCAUUUAUGGCUUCUAUUGUCGUCAUUGUCUUGCUACUUCCACGGAACAGCAACAAUUGGCCACUGUGGCCAAUGCAUACUGCCAUUUUGCUAGACAUGGUAGGCCUCCUUGGGGCCUACGCAGCGGGCAGUACAAGAGAGUGGGAGAUGUCAAGGAAUGUCAUUGCUCUGGUCAUUCCUGUGCUGAUCUAUAUUGCAGCCAUACGCAGCAGUAUCAUUGUUCCGCAACAAGGGCCGAUGUGGCAGCGGAAAUUCUCAUGA